rnacentral:rRNA from 1 species
GACGAACGCUGGCGGCGUGCUUAACACAUGCAAGUCGAACGGAAAGGCCCUGCUUUUGUGGGGUGCUCGAGUGGCGAACGGGUGAGUAACACGUGAGUAACCUGCCCUUGACUUUGGGAUAACUUCAGGAAACUGGGGCUAAUACCGGAUAGGAGCUCCUGCUGCAUGGUGGGGGUUGGAAAGUUUCGGCGGUUGGGGAUGGACUCGCGGCUUAUCAGCUUGUUGGUGGGGUAGUGGCUUACCAAGGCUUUGACGGGUAGCCGGCCUGAGAGGGUGACCGGCCACAUUGGGACUGUGAUACGGCCCAGACUCCUACGGGAGGCAGCAGUGGGGAAUAUUGCACAAUGGGCGGAAGCCUGAUGCAGCAACGCCGCGUGCGGGAUGACGGCCUUCGGGUUUUAAACCGCUUUCGCCUGUGGCGAAGCGUGAGUGACGGUAAUGGGUAAAGAAGCACCGGCUAACUACGUG